GCGUCGUGCUAAUAACGCGAAUGUCGAGGGUUCGAUCCCCUCCGAAGCCA
rnacentral:tRNA from 1 species